CAAAUACUGCUAAAAACUAUUCUCAUAUACAUUGUAGAUCAAGCUAAUAAUUUAUUGUAACAAUCAUGAAAGUUGUAAUUUAUAUAGAUAAUAUGCUUUUACACACUGUAGGGUAACAUUAUUCCUAAUUGACAAAUCAUAAUCUUUGUAAUUCAAAUAGAUGGUUGUAAUUUGUGAGCAUUCUGUUAAUUAAAACAAAUGAGUUAUAUAUCCAGUUAUGGUUUUUAUUAAAAAAAAAGAUAUGUUCAUGGAAACCAAAUAGAAUAUAUUGUACAGAAAAUUUCAGUAUUUGUUUCUGCGAGCCUGAGAAGGGUUUUGAAAACGUGUGCAGAUUUUAUUGAUCUUGCCAAAACUGAAUAAUGAGAAGGUAACUUAUAUAAUGCAUUAUUGAUAUUUAUACUGUAAACCAAUUAAUAUUUAUGAGUGGUUUAUUUUCACAACUUUCACAAGAGACAAAAAAACACGAUUAUAAAUUGUUGUGGAAAUUUCAAACCUGGAUCUUUCCUCCUCUCACUGUAAACUUGAAAAUCACGAAAUUAAAUCAUGCUAAUUGAGAUAGAAAAGGCUAAAUGUAAAAUAAUGUUUCCUUGAAAAUAAGUUGGUUUACAUUAUAGUAAUAUAUUGUUAGCAAAGAGACAAGUAGUACGUAUAUAAGAAGUAUAUUACCUAGGACAUAAUAUAAGUACAAAGUACAUAACAAGUUUAUACUAUACAAAAAUAGAGAACACUGAUGUAAUAAGUAUAUGCUAUUGCAUUAAAUAAACUAAUUGAUGUAGUAGAAGGGAUUUUAACCUUUCUUUAGGUAUAUGUCACUUGGCAAAGAUGUUCCUAAACAACUAGAGUGUUGAUAUAGUCUGAUUGUUGUAUAGAUUUAUUAGUAGGUAAUUUUAAUAUCAAAUACAUUUUUGUACUCCUUACAGUAUUAUGGUAGGGAAAGGUGUACAUAUUAUGAUUGUUGUUAAUAUAUACAUGUAAUUAAAUUGAUGAAAAAUUGUUUGCAUAACCUUUUUUUUAACGUUUUGUAAUUAAAAUGUAAAUGACCCUAAGAUUGUAUUUUCCUGUAAUUGCCAGUGAUUUUUUUUGGACAAUUUAACCAUAGGCAUAAUUUUUUGUAAUUUUGUUUAAUUUCUUUUUGUACAACCCAUGGUAAUUUGAUUGUUAAAGAGUUAAGAUGUGUUUGCAAUUCUAAUGUUAUUCAGAAACUUGUCUGUUUUGAUACUUGAAUUAUUAAUAAUACCUUUUUGAUUCAAACGUCACUUAUGAGUCUUAUGUAGAUGUAACACAUGUCUUUUGUACAAAGUUUAAAUCCUGGUAUCCAUGUUGAGUUUAUCAAAUGGCAUAAGCAGAUACCUUUGGCUUAUGAAACACUGCUGAAUAAAAUGAGAUCAGACAUUAAUGUCAAUGAGAGGUAAAAUCAUACAAGAAAAAUGUCGACGAAACAACUAUAAAUGGCAUGAGCCUAUAUAUAGACUAAUGGAUUCUAAAAUGUAAAUCAUAAGUUUAUUUCUACCUUCGUUAUUUAUUUUUAAACAUUUAAUGUAUUAUAUAAUUAAUCCAUCUUCAUCAUGUACUUUGAUUAUCCAUGACAAAACAUAUAGAAUAGCUUAUUGAUUGAUAUUGGUAGCUAGAAUAUGUGAACUUUAAACCACCUUGGUUUUAUUUCCUUAUUUGCCAAAUAUUUUCAUUGUGACUGUCUCUGAGAAAAAAGUAAAAAGUAAUUUAUUGGCAAAAUGUCUUUGAAAAAAAGAAAAAAAAUAUUUAUUGGUGAACAAAAUGUUUAUUAUAAAUGUUUAUUUAUGACUUAAUAAUUAUGACAUUUUGAUGGAGCGAAAAGGAAUUAGUAACCGCAAUAAAUUGCCCCGAAACAGGGGUGUUUUUUUAAAAAAUAAUUGUUUGAUUAGGCCGUUCAAAAUGUAUUGCUAAAUAUGUUAUUUUAAAAGGUCGAUAAGAAUAAUUGUACAUCUUCUACCUUUUUAUAAAUAUCUUUGCCUAAAAUAGGUACUGAAUUUAUUUGAAAUCCAUUUCUUUGGGCAACUUUUCAACCUUUUUUCCUUAUUUUAUAUAUGGCACUAACCCUCAUCCAUUGAAAUUUUGGGUGAAAAGGAAAGAAAAUGUUACACAAAGAAUAUUCCAGCAUAGAGGUUUUAUUUCAAAGGGUGGCACAACUGUUAAUUGUUUGGGAAAUCUGUCUUAGAUGUUUGCCAAAUUAUCAAAAAGGUAUGUGUUUUAACUCAUUAAUCUACACAGCACAAAUACAUCACUAUUUAAAAUGGUUAUUUCUUAUUUUUCUGAGAAAUUUGGGCAUUUUACUUUCAAAUUUCCUUAAAAUUAUUGCGUUUUUUAUUUGGUCGGGUUGUUGUCUCUUUGACACAUUCCCCAUUUCCAUUCUCAAUUUUAUUGUUUUUUUUUUCUAGAUUUUAAUGGCUAAAAUUAUGAAUUAGUGAACCAGAUCCUUUGCACAGUUUGUGAUUCAUGCAUAAAGAGAGCUACCUAUUCUGUUAUUGCACCAAUUCUCCCUUCUUUGUAGGUCUUGUGAUUUACCUCUGGGUUUUUUAACCCGGAUUUGUAUCUUAUAUGACUAAUUUUUUUUACAUAAAUAAGGCCAUUAGUUUUCUCGUUUGAAUUGUUUUACAUUGUCUUAUCGGUGUCUUUUAUAGCUCAUGCUUUGCUCAUUGUUGAAGGCUGUACGGUGACCUAUAGUUGUUAAUGUCUGUGUCAUUUUGGUCUUUUGUGGAUAGUUGUCUCAUUGGCAAUCAUACCACAUCUUCUUUUUUAUAUAAUGAGAUUUUAUUUGAACAAGUUCAUUUAUUUAAAUAAAAAUAACAUAAAAAUGCAAAUAACAUUUUAUUGCAAAAAUAAUAAGAUUUUUUGUUAAAAUGCUUAAAUGGAAUGAAAACAAACCAAAAAUAAACGUUAAAACAGGGAAUCAAACUAGUUAUAUAGGAUUAUAUAUUUCCUUAUUGGCCCAUUAGGAUUUCAUAUCUUCUUUUUAAUUAGUGUAAUUCAUCAAUGUAGAGAAAUUUAUUAGCCGAAUUUCUGGUUUCUUUUUUUAUCACAAUUCAGGUAGGAGUUUAAAUCUGUGUGAAUGAAAAUUUUGCUAUAUAAGUGCUGUUUAGAAUGGUUUUGGAUAUUUAUAAUUUAUUGUCUGUUUAUAAUAUCAUUAAACUAUUUUAGCCCAAGAGUGAUAAAAUAUUGUUUUUUUCAUUACUGAUAUGAAUAUUGCCUUCAAG
rnacentral:lncRNA from 1 species